UACGAAGGGGGCUAGCGUUGCUCGGAUUGAUUGGGAGUAAAGGGUGCGUAGGCGGUUUGUAUAGUAAGACGUGAAAUUCCUGGGCUCAACCUGGGGGCUGCGUUUGAUACGUGCGGACUUGAGUGCGGAAGAGGGUCGUGGAAUUCCCAGUGUAGAGGUGAAAUUCGUAGAUAUUGGGAAGAACACCGGUGGCGAAGGCGGCGACCUGGUCCGAUACUGACGCUGAGGCGCGAAAGCGUGGGGAGCAAACAGG
rnacentral:rRNA from 1 species